GUCUCUGCAUGUAUGUGUCUGUGUGUGUGUCUCUGUAUGUAUGUGUCUGUAUCACACAUACAUACAGACACAAACACAUACAGACACAUACAUACAGACAUACACA